rnacentral:rRNA from 1 species
AGGCCUAACACAUGCAAGUCGAGCGCGAAAGGUUCUUCGGGACUGAGUAGAGCGGCGGACGGGUGAGUAACGCGUAGGAAUCCACCCAGUGGUGGGGGACAACUUGGGGAAACUCAAGCUAAUACCGCAUACGCCCUACGGGGGAAAGCGGGGGACCUUCGGGCCUCGCGCCAUUGGAUGAGCCUGCGUUGGAUUAGCUAGUUGGUGGGGUAAAGGCCCACCAAGGCGACGAUCCAUAGCUGGUCUGAGAGGAUGAUCAGCCACACUGGGACUGAGACACGGCCCAGACUCCUACGGGAGGCAGCAGUGGGGAAUAUUGCGCAAUGGGCGAAAGCCUGACGCAGCCAUGCCGCGUGUGUGAAGAAGGCCUUAGGGUUGUAAAGCACUUUCAAUUGGGAAGAAAAGUUCACGGUUAAUACCCGUGAGCCCUGACAUUACCUUUAGAAGAAGCACCGGCUAACUCCGUGCCAGCAGCCGCGGUAAUACGGAGG